GGUGACUGCGGCAGACUUCAAAUCCUGAAGGAGCACGGUCUCC
rnacentral:tRNA from 21 species